rnacentral:misc_RNA from 1 species
GCGGCUGGAUCCCCUCCUUUCUAAGGAGCUAGAAGGCAUGACCUUCCAAGCUUACCUAGGUCAGAACAAUCACUGUUGUUGCUAUUCGGUUUUGAGAGACCAGAGACUGCCAGAGGAUGCUCUGGUUUUUUGCUCUUUAAACUUUGAGAUCGUGGAGAAGCGAUCGCGCGAAUUGAUGGGCUUGUAGCUCAGUUGGCUAGAGCACACGACUGAUAAUCGUGAGGUCGCUGGUUCGAGUCCAGCCAGGCCCACCAACCAUUAUUGGGGGGUGUAGCUCAGCUGGGAGAGCACCUGCCUUGCACGCAGGGGGUCAUCGGUUCGAACCCGUUCACCUCCACCAAUAAUUAAGRGCAAWUUUGARUUAUARAUUWWGGAUUUWGAAKKUUAAUKCAACMYUCAGAAUUYAACAYUCAAMMUUGCWUUUAACAGUUCUUUGACAAUUGCAUARUGGAUAGUAAGUUUAGGUAGCGAUUGCGUAUGAAGUGCUCGUGCGUAAUUGUUUUAAAUUGUAUGAAAUUGUAGAUUUGACUGAUUUCGAUUUUUUAUGGUCAAGCUACUAAGGGCGUACGGUGGAUGCCUAGGCAGAGAGAGGCGAUGAAGGACGUGGUAAACUGCGAUAAGCUUCGGUGAGCCGUUAAACAGGCUUUGACCCGGAGAUUUCCGAAUGGGGAAACCCGGA